rnacentral:rRNA from 1 species
GUUAGGAAUAUUGGACAAUGGGCGAAAGCCUGAUCCAGCCAUGCCGCGUGAACGAUGAAGGCCUUCGGGUUGUAAAGUUCUUUAGCCGAUGAUUAUAAUGACUGUAGUCGGAAAAUAAGCCCCGGCUAACUUCGUGCCAGCAGCCGCGGUAAUACGAAGGGGGCGAGCGUUAUUCGGAAUCACUGGGCGUAAAGCGUGCGUAGGCGGUUUUGUAAGUUAGGAGUGAAAGCCCAGGGCUCAACCUUGGAAUUGCUCUUAAAACUGCAAGGCUCGAAUCUCGGAGAGGAUAGCGGAAUUUCCAGUGUAGCAGUGAAAUGCGUAGAUAUUGGAAGGAACACCAGUGGCGUAAGCGGCUAUCUGGACGAGUAUUGACGCUGAGGCACGAAAGCGUGGGGAUCAAACAGGAUUAGAUACCCUAGUAGUCC